CAAAAUACAAUGCGGUUUGUUCUUGAAUUAAACAAUUUGGUGCUUGGACCCAAUCCUGAAACCUGUCACUGCUUUAGGUGUUUUGUGUCUCAAAAGAUCAUGGACUGCUCAUUCUCUGUGUGGCUCAUGAAAGUAACAAGAUGGGAGAACUGAAGGAACGGAGUUGUGAAGCCAUGUAUCUGCUCAAAGACAUAAAGAAGACCAGUGACAAAUCCAGAAACAGAAACCAAGUCUCCUGAGUUGAAGCCUAAUGCCACUAAAUAUUGUGAUCAACAAGACAGUUUGCCUUCUGAUGUUAGUGAAGACCUACGUAGCAAGUGGUGAUGAUCUCUGAGACAUUUUAUGCAGUAAGAGCCCCUGGGUAUCCCACCUGGCUUCUCACUGCUAGUUUGAAGGUGUGAGUCUCCUUCUUUAUCAAGCUUCUUCAGGACCAACCCCAAGGCGUGGCUGCAGUGGUGGUUUGAAACAAGAAACAGAUACCUUCUUGUCAUUCAUUUCACUGAUCACUGGGAAUCUGAGCCGGAAUGAAGGUGGAGGAAGGCUCCUACAGAGAACUGGGAAUGGUUUGUCCCUUAAGAAGGGUAUAAUGGCAUUUUUAAUGUUUUUACUAAAUACCAGGGCAUGUGAUAAAAGUUUAUGGACUGGGAAUGAAUUGGAAGAUUGUGAAAUUGGAAAGAAUGUGCAUUAUGGCAAGCCUCAAAGAGCUACAACCUAAGCACCCUGACAUUUGCGACCAAGCCCAGAGAAUAUCUCUUGAGUUAUUGGAACCAUCUCAGAUGACUGUUAUUUUUGAUAUGACUUACCAGGCCCCAGUAAGCUCCCCCAGCCAGAGUGGGUAAAGUUCCUCUUAUUAAUGUUAGUUCAGGAGACUGAAGCGCACCCUGGUCAGUGAAAGAUGUAGUUUAUGGAAUUAGCUACAGAAUUCAGAUUGAAAAUAAAAAAUGCAGCAUGAGUUUGUCCCUGAGAGGUGGUGCGUGGUUCAAAAAAUGCUGUUCAAAAGAUAAUGUACUUGUAUCUAAACUCUGCUACCUGCAAACUCUGCUAUCUGCAACAUAAAGGUUUACGGUUUAUGUGUAUUAAAUAUCUAUACAGUGAAACAUGAAAUGUAUAAUUAAGAUAAUGACUGUAAGUAUAGAACUAUGCAAAUAUUAUCUAAAUCGUAUGUGUAAAUGCUGUUUAAUUUCCAGAGAUUACAGAAAAUAUUCAAAAAGUUUAUAGUCUUUCUACCCUCACUAGUUUUUAGUAUAAUUGCAGUUUUAGAGCUAAUCUGUCUAUUCAUUUUUUAAUAUUUGCAGUUGUGUUACAUUUUACUGAGAAACAAUUCAGUUUGGGGAAACUGUUGCACUUUAUCCUGUGUUUUGUGUCAUUUGAACAAGAAGUCCCUGAGCAUUUGUCCCAAAUACCAACAUUUUUACUCCAUUGGCAGCUAUGUAUUUGUGGUCACCCUUCAGCAAUGUAGGUAAAGAAUGUAUACAGUAGCAGUGCCUCUUCCAGGCAGGACCAAGGAGGAAAACUGGAUGUGGUCAACCCACACAUAAUUUUCUCUUCUUGGUGGAGGUCUCAUGCAGACAGCACUUUAAUGACACCUCUUGUUUCUGAAUAAGAUGAAGGUAAGAGAUAGAAACCAUUUGGAAGCCAUUGUUUAUGUUCCCUGGAACGGGCUAAAAAGAACAGCUCUUCUGAGACACAGCUUUACACAGAACAUACAUGGAGCUGUGUCAUUAUUAAUUCUGAAAACGAGUUUACAAUGGGUAGGUGAAAUAUUUAGUUAAUAUUUAAAUAUUUUGAUUUAUUAUAGCUUAUACGUGAAUUUUAGAUUUCUACUGCACGUAACACUUCCAGUUUAAAUAACCAGUUUCGUUAGGAGCUUUAGUGAUACAAAUUAAUAACAAAAGGCAGUUAAUACAGAGUGCAGUUACGAGACCAAAAUACAUGUGGUUUAAAUUUAAAGAAUUAAAUGUUAGCAUUUCCCUAUAGGGAAAGGUUAUUUGGGCAGUGGUGUACUGACAUUAUCACCACCCACAGAGAAAGGGACCUGUUGAUCCUCUUGGUUAAGCUGAAGUUCAGAAAAAAAGAAUAUAUGUCUAGAGGGUUUUCUUGGUGUAAGUGAAUCACACAGGAAAAAUGCUGAUACCCAGAGUCAUCAUCAUGACCUUCUUUGAUGCUUAGAAAGAGAAAUAAGCAUGUGAUAUUUUUGUCACGUUAGAUGGUUUAGGUUACUCACUAGGUAAAAUUGGUCUUGGUUAUUAAUAUAGUGGAAAGUUAAAUGAUGACCAUGGAUAUAUGAUAAUAAGUGCUGUUGUAAAUUAGACAGAAUUGGUUUUCUGUGACCAUGAGGAAUGAUAAUCCUAUGUGUUAACCAUUGGGCUGAACGGCUGCCUGGAAAAUAAAUGUGGAAGUGGAUAAAAUAAGGAUAGAAGUAUGUUUAGGUAGGUCUUUCUUCAAAGCUUCCUUCAGGAAGGUGUUUCUGGACACUACCCUACUGCUUCUGACAAAUCAUGUCUGUUAAGGUAAAGGUAAGCAAACAGCAUUCAUUUAGCAGUAAAUAGUGCUAUCUGUAUCUCUGGAUUUCUAUUUAAGAAAAAGCUUAUAAGGAUUUUAUUGUAUCUAGCUGGAAACAAAUCUAUUAAAAAUAACAAUUGCUAAUUGCCACUAUUUAAUGUUAGUUUAAUCUGACAACUCUGGAAUGGCUUUGCCUAUUAUUCCUGGAAGAAACUACAUAAAAUAGGGUGGGUUUGUGUAGUUUCAUAGCAGACAUGAAACUGCACGGAAAAUCCAGG